rnacentral:rRNA from 1 species
GACGAACGCUGGCGGCGUGCUUAACACAUGCAAGUCGAACGGAAAGGCCCUGCUUUUGUGGUGUGCUCGAGUCGCGAACGGGUGAGUAACACGUGAGUAACCUGCCCUUGACUUUGGGAUAACUUCAGGAAACUGGGGCUAAUACCGGAUAGGAGCUCCUGCUGCGUGGGGGGGGUUGGAAAGUUUCGGCUGUUGGGGAUGGACUCGCGGCUUAUCAGCUUGUUGGUGGGGUAGUGGCUUACCAAGGCUUUGACGGGUAGCCGGCCUGAGAGGGUGACCGGCCCCAUUGGGACUGAGAUACGGCCCAGACUCCUACGGGAGGCAGCAGUGGGGAAUAUUGCACAGUGGGCGGAAGCCUGAUGCAGCAACGCCGCGUGCGGGAUGACGGCCUUCGGGUUGUAAACCGCUUUCGCCUGUGACGAAGCGUGAGUGACGGUAAUGGGUAAAGAAGCACCGGCUAACUACGUG